CUACGGGAUGCUGCAGUGAGGAAUAUUGCACAAUGGGGGGAACCCUGAUGCAGCAACGCCGCGUGGAGGAUGACGCAUUUCGGUGUGUAAACUCCUUUUAUAUGUCAAGAAAAUGACAGUAGCAUAUGAAUAAGCACCGGCUAACUCCGUGCCAGCAGCCGCGGUAAUACGGAGGGUGCAAGCGUUACUCGGAAUCGCUGGGCGUAAAGGACGCGUAGGCGGGUUGGAAAGUCAGGUGUGAAAUCCUACAGCUUAACUGUAGAACUGCACUUGAAACUUCUAAUCUAGAGUAUGGGAGGGGGAGAUGGAAUUAGUGGUGUAGGGGUAAAAUCCGUAGAUAUCACUAGGAAUACCUAAAGCGAAGGCGAUCUCCUGGAACAUUACUGACGCUAAGGCGUGAAAGCGUGGGGAGCAAACAGGAUUAGAUACCCGAGUAGUC
rnacentral:rRNA from 1 species